GGUAAUCAAGCUCUGGCCUGUUUGGUGUCUGGGCAGUAGAAAAAAUGGGGCAGAUCCCAUGAAAAGCGUGCUGGACACAAGCUGCCUUGGGAGCUGGAGUGCUGUUGCUGCCCUCAGUCCUUCCCUGCAAAAUCCAACUGCCUGUGGGGUUAUUUUAGGCGCUGCUAUUAAGCCGACCUGGAAAAUCGAAGGCACAGAAGCAAAAAGCAGCAAAGUGCAAAGCCUCACCUCCGAGUGCUUUGUGAAAGCCGUGCGUGUACAGCUGCAGCCUGGAUUUGCCAUGGUCUCACAGCUCCUCACCAGCAGCCUUAGCGAGGGAGAAAGCAGCACUGCAGGCCAAUUCUGGUGAUUCAGAAGAGGUUUUCCCAAAUGCUAACUCACUGAAUAAGGACUGGAGGAUUGGAAGCAUCGAGAGCAUCCCUACCAGAAAUAUUUCUUGCAGGAAGACCUACUUGGGGACUCCAGUAGCUCUGAAUACCAAUCAACUGAAAGGAAGCGGGGGGUUUGGACCAAUUUCUCUGCUGGCAUAACUCCAUUAAAGCCAGAGGGUGAAAUCACAGUCCUGUUGAGAUGCAUGGGAUUUUUGCCAGAUACACGACUGCUGAGAACUCUUUUAAUAACUCAACCCUGAUUUUGCUUUGGACUGAAACCUCCCCGUGAAUCUUAGCCUACAAACACUCCUAUCUUGCACGCAGAAGAAUGUUCUGCAGCAAGCAAAUGAGCUUGGAAGAGGAUUCAGCUUCAUCACUGGAACCCUGCUGUAGAAUUCAUUGCAGGCAAAAUUUGACUUGUGUGGGGAUGGCACUGGCUGGGCGGCACACACAUUCAAGACCCUCCGUGAUGGAAAGGUUCCUGCUUUGGCUGCAGUCACAUGCUUUACCAGAUACCCCGUGAAGGGCACAAGCACAGUUUUGAUGCUGCCUCUUUGGUGUGACCCACUUGUGCAGUCAGGGCUCACCAAUAUUUUUAAGACCAGCUUAUUGCUGGAUACUGACAAUACAUCUCUCUUGUCUCCCAUCCCGUUGCAUAGUGAUGUCAUGGCUUCCGGGCUUCUUUUUUGGCCAACUUGUUGUUCCUGAGUAUUUGGGAGUCUUCUGGAGGGUCUUGUGCCUGAAGAUACACCUCAUCAGCACCUUCUGUGCUCAUGCUGUUUGCGGAAGGCUGACGACAUCUCCAGUAAGGAGGUCAGAAAGCUGGUGCUUCCACUGCCGGCAGAUGCAACUAGGUAGCCUUAUCGUCCUAAGGUUAAAAAAGAAGCAGGAAAAAUGACGCUAGGAAAAAAAAUAUAAAAAAAAUAAAUAUAUAUAAUUCUGGUUUCUUUAAACAUCAUAAAGAAGCAGUGGUUUGCUUUGCAGGUCACCUUCAUGGCAAAUGGGAAUCAUUCAAUCACCGCCAGAUAAUAUCAAAGUCAUUCUCAGGGGCUGGCAAUUGGAAUGACAAUUGAAAAAAAUAUGAGUUAAGAUUUUAAAUGUCUCUUUGUGAGACAAACAGAGCAAAAUCGUUCAUCAGUGCAAGAACAGACACUGUAAAUACUGCCUUAAAGUGGAUCUGAAAGGAAUGUGUAUCUCCUUGGCAGAUAAGAGGUGGCCAGUUCUGUCUUCCCAGCUUAGCCCCAGCCCCUUAUGGAUACAGAGCGAGUUUGUGCCCUUGUUUUCCUACUUCAUGCACCAAGCUUAGCAGAGCUCUGGGUCUCUUUUGGCACUGGAGAAGCCAGAUAGGAAUUUUUUGGUUGAAUCACAGAGUUAUUGGAGUUGGCAGGGACCCCUCCCAUCGCCCCGGCCAGCCCUCCUCGGGCAGGGUGAGCUGGAGCGGGUUGCCAAGGAGCAUCUCCAGCUGAGCUUCGUGUUCCUCUGUGGAUGGGCACUCAGCAACCCCUCUGGGCAACCCCACACAGUUUUGGGCAACCCUCAGCGUAAAAAU